rnacentral:rRNA from 1 species
UGGAUAACCUGCCCUCGGCACCGGAAUAGCCCGGGGAAACUCGGAUUAAUGCCGGAUAGCCCCACAGCCCGCAGGGGCGGUGGGAAAAGGUAGCUUCGGCCUCUGGCCGAGGAUGGGUCCGCGGCGGAUUAGCUAGUUGGUGGGGUAACGCCCACCAAGGCGACGAUCCGUAGCUGGUCUGAGAGGACGAACAGCCACACUGGGACUGAGACACGGCCCAGACUCCGUACGGGAGCAG